rnacentral:rRNA from 1 species
CCUACGGGAGGCUGCAGUGGGGAAUUUUCCACAAUGGGCGAAAGCCUGAUGGAGCAACGCCGCGUGUGUGAUGAAGGUCUUCGGAUCGUAAAGCACUUUCGACUGGGACGAAACACCCUUGGCUAACACUCAAGGGCUUGACGGUACCAGGAGAAGAAGCACCGGCUAACUCUGUGCCAGCAGCCGCGGUAAUACAGAGGGUGCAAGCGUUGUUCGGAAUUAUUGGGCGUAAGCAUGGCAAGUCGGGUGUGAAAGCCCUCAGCUUAACUGAGGAAGUGCGCCCGAAACUGCUGUGCUUGAGUGCCGGAGAGGAUGGCGGAAUUCCCCAAGUAGAGGUGAAAUUCGUAGAUAUGGGGAGGAACACCGGUGGCGUAGGCGGCCAUCUGGACGGUAACUGACGCUGAGACGCGAAAGCGUGGGUAGCAAACAGGAUUAGAUACCCCUGUAGUC